rnacentral:lncRNA from 1 species
GAGCUUGCUCUUGCCCUUUGUUUUGGAGGCACCAGAUGUUUUACUCUUCUUUGGCUUCUCCUCUUUCAGCCUCUCCCCAGCACUCUUCUUCCUGCGUUUCUUCUCGCCUUCCUCCUCUGGCCGAACGCUGGGCAACUCGUCCUCAUUUAAGACUCGAGGUAUGUUCUGCUCACCGCGGGCACGGGCUCUCGCAAUGGCCUCUGCUACAAUCCGAUUUGCUUUCUCUUGCUUCUUCUGGUGUUCCAAUCUGCGGUUUUCCUCCAUUCCUGUCUUUCCCCCCGAAUGAGGAGCAGAGCUUGCUGGUGAUGACAAAGCUGCCACUUCACUGGCACUCAGAACUUUAACUACAGAGAGCCCAGAAGAGGCCCCUUGGGAAGAGCCAGCC